GCCUCAAUAGCUCAGUUGGUAGAGCGUUGCGUAUGUUCCUCCCAAGCUGCAGACGAAUAAAAUGGACACUAAUAAACAUCACAGACUAGUAUCUCUAGAAAUGCAAAGGUCUUCGGUUCAACUCCGAAUUGAGGCA